GUGAUGAUGGCGCAGCUGGGAGCGCGCCGGGAAGUCCGCACCUGGGCUCCCGGAGGUCCUCGGUUCAAUCCCGGGUCGUCGCA